rnacentral:tRNA from 1 species
GCCCCCGUAGCUCAGUCGGUUAGAGCAGCCCGCUCAUAACGGGUUGGUCCCUGGUUCGAGUCCAGGCGGGGGCA